UCCUCUGCUAGAGCAGCAAGUGCCCUUAAGCAUUGAGCCAUCUCCAGCCUGGUUUGGUGUUUUGAGGUGAGGUCUCACUACGUGACCCAUGCCGGCCUGGAACUUGAAAGAGUCCCUUGUCAACCUCCUGAGUGCUGGGAUGGCAAAUGUACACCAUCGUACCUGCAGCCUGGAUAGUUUCAGUUUUGGUUUUGGUGUUUAAGAACAUGAUUCUUCGUUGGGAGGGGGAAAAAAAGGCUUCAUAUUUUAAAAGCUUUUCCAGAAAAACAACAACAACUUUACUUUUUGCCACAUCUGCAAAAUGGAGCUUCAUCUCUGCCUUCAGCAGCAUGGUUUGUGUGAUGGUUACCAUGUUGAACCAGGAGUUGCUGGAUGUACUUUGUUGCCAAAUGUCGCCCUCUUGUGUUGAGAAAUACUCGACUUUUCACUAUGCUACUUCUGCCCUUCGGCAAGGAAGACAGGACUUAGCAUUAUUGGGGAUAAAGUACACCGGUUUCAGCAUUAAUGAAACUUCCCCAAAUACAUUACUUUCAUAUCAGAAAAGGAACAAAGAAAAUGGGGGGCAGGGAUUCCAUCAUUCCCUGGAUGAAGAUGGUCUAAAUAGUAAAUGAGAAAAGAGAUGGAAUGAGGACAGUCCACAGGACCUCUUCGAUGUUCUUCUGAGGGAACGCUGGAGAAGCGUUCACAGAACACAGUCGCGAAGAGAACCGUGUGGAGAGCAGGCAGUUCUGAAGCCCGUCCGUACAGGCAGACUCUUGAUAGUGAAAUUGGAUUCCUGACGAAUACUUGAUGGGUAUUUUUGUGAUAACUGCUAAAAUUCGGUCAUGUGGAGAACUUUAAUGUAACUUGUGUGUUUUUGUGUACUUAAACUAAAUAUGUCUGUGGCACUUCAUUAUCAUAGGUUGUAAAUUCCUAGGAGUGAACCCUGUAAAUGCUUCUGUGCUGA